CCUACGGGAGGCUGCAGUGGGGAAUAUUGCACAAUGGGCGAAAGCCUGAUGCAGCAACGCCGCGUGAGCGAUGAAGGCCUUCGGGUCUUAAAGCUCUGUCCUCCAGGAAGAUAAUGACGGUACGUGAGGAGGAAGCCCCGUCUAACUACGUGCCAGCAGCCGCGGUAAUACGUAGGGGGCUAGCGUUAUCCGGAGUUACUGGGCGUAAAGGGUGCGUAGGUGGUUUCUUAAGUCAGAGGUAAAAGGCUACGGCUCAACCGUAGUAAGCCUUUGAAACUGGGGAACUUGAGUGCAGGAGAGGAGAGUGGAAUUCGUAGUGUAGCGGUGAAAUGCGUAGAUAUUAGGAGGAACACCAGUUGCGAAGGCGGCUCUCUGGACUGUAACUGACACUGAGGCACGAAAGCGUGGGGAGCAAACAGGAUUAGAUACCCGUGUAGUC
rnacentral:rRNA from 1 species